UUUUUUUGCCAAGAUGGGCAUGUCAAAUUACACAAGUCCGAACACACCUAACAAAGUCAGAAAAUAAAACAUCACAGAAUAUCCUAGGCAAAAACUCAUCCCAAGUCCACAAGGUACCACCUGCGUGAUUGGCUGCAUAAGCGGUCAUCCAGUCCACAGCACCGUUAGCCUUCCUAAAGAUUGCUUGGCCUCAAUAGCCAAGCUUCCGAUGCACGGUGGGGAGAAGGGUUUCAGUAAACUCCGAGGUUCCGAUGGCAGAGGCGGCUGCUCCCAUGGAGAUCGACAACGAAGCGCCGCCGGCAAGGCCCAACAAGGGCUAGGCCCCCCUCGCCUGCCCAAGCAACCCAGCCCCCUAGGUCGAGAAGUA
rnacentral:lncRNA from 1 species